rnacentral:rRNA from 1 species
UUAGUAACGGCGAGUGAGCGGUAAAAGCUCAAAUUUGAAAUCUGGUACUUUCAGUGCCCGAGUUGUAAUUUGUAGAAUUUGUCUUUGAUUAGGUCCUUGUCUAUGUUCCUUGGAACAGGACGUCAUAGAGGGUGAGAAUCCCGUUUGGCGAGGAUACCUUUUCUCUGUAAGACUUUUUCGAAGAGUCGAGUUGUUUGGGAAUGCAGCUCAAAGUGGGUGGUAAAUUCCAUCUAAAGCUAAAUAUUGGCGAGAGACCGAUAGCGAACAAGUACAGUGAUGGAAAGAUGAAAAGAACUUUGAAAAGAGAGUGAAAAAGUACGUGAAAUUGUUGAAAGGGAAGGGCAUUUGAUCAGACAUGGUGUUUUUUGCAUGCACUCGCCUCUCGUGGGCUUGGGCCUCUCAAAAAUUUCACUGGGCCAACAUCAAUUCUGGCAGCAGGAUAAAUCAUUAAGAAUGUAGCUACUUCGGUAGUGUUAUAGCUUUUUGGAAUACUGUUAGCCGGGAUUGAGGACUGCGCUUCGGCAAGGAUGUUGGCAUAAUGGUUAAAUGCCGCCCGUCUUGAACCACGGACCA